rnacentral:rRNA from 1 species
AAACCAACAGGGAUUGCCUUAGUAACGGCGAGUGAAGCGGCAACAGCUCAAAUUUGAAAUCUGGCCCUUGGGUCCGAAUUGUAAUUUGUAGAGGAUGAUUUUGGUGCGGUAUCUUCCGAGUUCCUUGGAACAGGACGCCUUAGAGGGUGAGAGCCCCGUACGGUUGAAUGCCUAGCCUCUGUAAAUCUCCUUCGACGAGUCGAGUAGUUUGGGAAUGCUGCUCUAAAUGGGAGGUAAAUUUCUUCUAAAGCUAAAUAUUGGCCAGAGACCGAUAGCGCACAAGUAGAGUGAUCGAAAGAUGAAAAGCACUUUGAAAAGAGGGUUAAAUAGCACGUGAAAUUGUUGAAAGGGAAGGAUUUGUGACCAGACUUUUUCUGGGCGGAUCAUCCGGGGUUCUCUCCGGUGCACUUCGCCCAGUAAAGGCCAGCAUCGGUUUUCGGCGUGGGAUAAAAGCAGUAGGAAUGUGGCUCUCUACGGGGAGUGUUAUAGCCUAUUGUAUAAUACCGCGCUGGGGACCGAGGUUCGCGCUUCUGCAAGGAUGCUGGCGUAAUGGUUAUCAAUCACCCGUCUUGA